rnacentral:snRNA from 1 species
AGAUGUGAUGGCAAUCUGGCUCUGACAUCUGUCAUCCUAGUGAUUCUCACGGUUGGUGUGGUUUGGCUGGAUAGAUAGACCAACGUCCCCUUAAUCCUUCAUUUCUUUCCUCACUGCAUGUUUAGUUGAAGAAUUAUUUCCACAUCCUCUCGUGGAAAAGGAUCAUUAUUUGGUCAAGGGUGCAUCAGAA